rnacentral:rRNA from 1 species
AUUGAACGCUGACGGCAUGCCUUACACAUGCAAGUCGAACGGCAGCACGGGUGCUUGCACCUGGUGGCGAGUGGCGAACGGGUGAGUAAUACAUCGGAACAUGUCCUGUAGUUGGGGAUAGCCCGGCGAAAGCCGGAUUAAUACCGCAUACGAUCUACGGAUGACAGCGGGGGACCUUCGGGCCUCGCGCUAUAGGGUUGGCCGAUGGCUGAUUAGCUAGUUGGUGGGGUAAAGGCCUACCAAGGCGACGAUCAGUAGCUGGUCUGAGAGGACGACCAGCCACACUGGGACUGAGACACGGCCCAGACUCCUACGGGAGGCAGCAGUGGGGAAUUUUGGACAAUGGGCGAAAGCCUGAUCCAGCAAUGCCGCGUGUGUGAAGAAGGCCUUCGGGUUGUAAAGCACUUUUGUACGGAAAGAAAUCCUUGGCCCUAAUACGGUCGGGGGAUGACGGUACCGGAAGAAUAAGCACCGGCUAACUACGUG